rnacentral:misc_RNA from 1 species
ACCGAAGCCCGUAGCCGUCCCCCAAGGGGGACGUGAUGGGUGGCUGGUAUCCUCCUAUUGAGGGGUGUAUGGCGCAGUGUGGGCCGGCCUUCGGGUCGCGAAUUCCCACGUCUGCGGCGGACCAUCCCUUGAGCAAAUCGGUGGGGGCAUUUGGAUGGCUCGCGGAUACCUUUCGGCGGCUUCGGCCCCGCUGGGUCGCCCGGGCCGGGCGCAGGGUUUCGGCCCCAGCCCCGACCUUUUAACUAAACUCUGAUCCCCUCUUCGCUGAGGGAUCCGGCGGUCGUUUUGCCUUCGGGUGAUCGGCUUCCCGGUUAAGAUAGUUACCUGGUUGAUUCUGCCAGUAGUCAUAUGCUUGUCUC